UACGUAGGGCGCAAGCGUUGUCCGGAAUUACUGGGCGUAAAGGGCUCGUAGGCGGCCAACUAAGUCGGACGUGAAAUCCCUCGGCUCAACCGGGGAACUGCGUCCGAUACUGGAUGGCUUGGAUUCGGGAGAGGAAUGCGGAAUUCCAGGUGUAGCGGUGAAAUGCGUAGAUAUCUGGAGGAACACCGGUGGCGAAGGCGGCAUUCUGGACCGACAUUGACGCUGAGGAGCGAAAGCCAGGGGAGCAAACGGG
rnacentral:rRNA from 1 species